UCGGAGUGACCCGCCCGUGCGCAGCUUGAUCUGCCUACCACGCGUCCGCCUCGGUCAUCAUCUCACUGGCCUCGCCUUUCAUCUCUACCACCUGGGAAGCCGGCGUGGCCGACGGAGGUUAUGGAAUGUUUUGUGGCAUCUGUAAUGCAUGUACCCAGCAUAGACGACUGACUGUUCAAGGAACUGAAGCAAGGGACAGCUUGCUGUGAAAGAUGGGAGCAUUCUUCCUCUGGUCUGGACAAGCCCAUAUUAAGUGGGAGAUGUUCAAUAUCAACCCGAUGCGAGGCAGCAAAUGUGGAAAUGGACGCAAGUCAAGGACAGCUGCAGACAGCAAGAUAAUGAAACUGAUACAGCGAUUGCACUGAAUCACUGAAGAUAUGAGCCGGAAUGCGAACAGUAUACUCGUACAGUUUGGCAGAAUAAACCCCAUCUUUAUGCGUUCAGAGCAGCUGGAUGUUCACUGUUUACUUGGCAAGAAGUAGUACGUAUGCGUGCUUCCUGCCACAGCUAUGUGCUGUCCCACACUUUGUGGGAAACACUGAAUUCUGCAUUUGCUGAGAAAUAUAUGUGCCAAAUAGUGCAUUUUGUUCCUUUCCAGUCACCAAUGCACAGAAGUUGACCC
rnacentral:lncRNA from 1 species